rnacentral:tRNA from 2 species
GCUGCUGUAGCUCAGGGGUAGAGCACUUCCUUGGUAAGGAAGAGGUCUCGGGUUCAAAUCCCGACAGCAGCUCCA